rnacentral:rRNA from 1 species
AUCAGACCUCUGAUCAGAGAAGACUACCCGCUGA